rnacentral:rRNA from 1 species
UACGGAGGGGGCUAGCGUUGUUCGGAAUUACUGGGCGUAAAGCGCACGUAGGCGGCUUUGUAAGUUAGAGGUGAAAGCCCGGGGCUCAACUCCGGAAUUGCCUUUAAGACUGCAUCGCUAGAAUCGUGGAGAGGUAAGUGGAAUUCCGAGUGUAGAGGUGAAAUUCGUAGAUAUUCGGAAGAACACCAGUGGCGAAGGCGACUUACUGGACACGUAUUGACGCUGAGGUGGCGAAAGCGUGGGAGCAACAGG